GAGUUUGAUCCUGGCUCAGAACGAACGCUGGCGGCAGGCCUAACACAUGCAAGUCGAGCGCUACCUUCGGGUGGAGCGGCGGACGGGUUAGUAACGCGUGGGAAUAUACCCUUCACUAUGGAAUAGCCUCGGGAAACUGAGAGUAAUACCAUAUACGCCCUUCGGGGGAAAGAUUUAUCGGUGAAGGAUUAGCCCGCGUAAGAUUAGAUAGUUGGUGGGGUAAUGGCCUACCAAGUCUACGAUCUUUAGCUGGUUUUAGAGGAUGAUCAGCAACACUGGGACUGAGACACGGCCCAGACUCCUACGGGAGGCAGCAGUGGGGAAUCUUAGACAAUGGGCGCAAGCCUGAUCUAGCCAUGCCGCGUGAGUGAUGAAGGUCUUAGGAUCGUAAAGCUCUUUCGCUAGGGAUGAUAAUGACAGUACCUAGUAAAGAAGCCCCGGCUAACUCCGUGCCAGCAGCCGCGGUAAUACGGAGGGGGCUAGCGUUGUUCGGAAUUACUGGGCGUAAAGCGUACGUAGGCGGAUCAGAAAGUAUGGGGUGAAAUCCCAGGGCUUAACCCUGGAACUGCCUCAUAAACUCCUGGUCUUGAGUUCGAGAGAGGUGAGUGGGAAUUCCAAGGUGUAGAGGUGAAUUUCGUAGAUAUUUGGAGGAACCCCCCGUGGCGAAGGGCGGCUCACUGCUCCAAUACUGACGCUUGAGGUACAAAGUGUUGGGGAR
rnacentral:rRNA from 1 species